rnacentral:rRNA from 1 species
UACGUAGGGGGGCAAGCGUUGUCCGGAUUUAUUGGGCGUAAAGAGCGUGUAGGCGGCCUGACAGGUCUGCUGUGAAAACUCGAGGCUCAACCUCGAGAUGUCGGCGGAAACCGUCUGGCUAGAGUCCGGAAGAGGAGAGUGGAAUUCCUGGUGUAGCGGUGAAAUGCGUUGAUAUCGGAAGGAACGCCGGUGGCGAAAGCGCGCAACUGGACCUCUUCUGACGCUGAGGCGCGAAAGCUAGGGGAGCAAACGGG